CCAGCCAUGCCGCGUGUGUGAAGAAGGCCUUUUGGUUGUAAAGCACUUUAAGCAGUGAAGAAGACCUAACGGUUAAUACCCGUUAGCGAUGACAUUAGCUGCAGAAUAAGCACCGGCUAACUCUGUGCCAGCAGCCGCGGUAAUACAGAGGGUGCAAGCGUUAAUCGGAAUUACUGGGCGUAAAGCGAGCGUAGGUGGCUUGAUAAGUCAGAUGUGAAAUCCCCGGGCUUAACCUGGGAACUGCAUCUGAUACUGUUAAGCUAGAGUAGGUGAGAGGGAAGUAGAAUUCCAGGUGUAGCGGUGAAAUGCGUAGAGAUCUGGAGGAAUACCGAUGGCGAAGGCAGCUUCCUGGCAUCAUACUGACACUGAGGCUCGAAAGCGUGGGUAGCAAACAGGAUUAGAUACCCUGGUAGUCCACGCCGUAAACGAUGUCUACUAGUCGUUGGGUCCCUUGAGGACUUAGUGACGCAGCUAACGCAAUAAGUAGACCGCCUGGGGAGUACGGCCGCAAGGUUAAAACUCAAAUGAAUUGACGGGGGCCCGCACAAGCGGUGGAGCAUGUGGUUUAAUUCGAUGCAACGCGAAGAACCUUACCUGGUCUUGACAUACACAGAAUCUUGUAGAGAUACGAGAGUGCCUUCGGGAAUUGUGAUACAGGUGCUGCAUGGCUGUCGUCAGCUCGUGUCGUGAGAUGUUGGGUUAAGUCCCGCACGCGGCCAAACCCACAAAUCUCACGACACGAGCUG
rnacentral:rRNA from 1 species